rnacentral:rRNA from 1 species
AGUGAACGCUGGCGGUAGGCCUAACACAUGCAAGUCGAACGGCAGCACAGUAAGAGCUUGCUCUUACGGGUGGCGAGUGGCGGACGGGUGAGGAAUACAUCGGAAUCUACUUUUUCGUGGGGGAUAACGUAGGGAAACUUACGCUAAUACCGCAUACGACCUACGGGUGAAAGCAGGGGAUCUUCGGACCUUGCGCGAUUGAAUGAGCCGAUGUCGGAUUAGCUAGUUGGCGGGGUAAAGGCCCACCAAGGCGACGAUCCGUAGCUGGCCUGAGAGGAUGAUCAGCCACACUGGAACUGAGACACGGUCCAGACUCCUACGGGAGGCAGCAGUGGGGAAUAUUGGACAAUGGGCGCAAGCCUGAUCCAGCCAUACCGCGUGGGUGAAGAAGGCCUUCGGGUUGUAAAGCCCUUUUGUUGGGAAAGAAAAGCAGCAGGUUAAUACCCCGCUGUUCUGACGGUACCCAAAGAAUAAGCGCCGGCUAACUUCGUG